UGAGUACGAGAUGCUACGGCAUCGAAGCAGUCUAUGUCAUACUUCCAAGAAAAGCUUGCAAUGUCAUAAACAAAUAAUGCCUGUACCAUAACCGACACAGGUGGGUAGGUAGAGUAUACUAAGGGGCGCGAGAUAACUCUCUCUAAGGAACUCGGCAAAAUGACUCCGUAACUUCGGGAGAAGGAGUGCCUUAUUUAUAAGGUUGCAAUAACAAGAUCCAAGCAACUGCUUAUCAAAAACACAGGUCUCCGCUAAGUCGUAAGACGAUGUAUGGGGGCUGACGCCUGCCCAGUGCCAGAAGGUUAAAGAAGUUGGUUAGCAUUAGCGAAGCUGAUAACUGAAGCCCUGGUGAACGGCGGCCGUAACAAUAACGGUCCUAAGGUAGCGAAAUUCCUUGUCGGGUAAGUUCCGACCCGCACGAAAGGCGUAAUGAUUUGGAUACUGUCUCGGAGAGGGGCUCGGUGAAAUAGACUUGUCUGUGAAGAUGCGGACUACCUGCACCUGGACAGAAAGACCCUAUGAAGCUUUACUGUAACUUGAGAUUGAAAUUGGACUUUAUUUGCGCAGUAUAGGUGGGAGACGUUGAAAAUAUUCUUGCGGGAAUAUUGGAGUCAUCAGUGAGAUACCACUCUUAUAAUGUUAGAUUUCUAACUUUGUAUCAUUAUCUGGUCAAAGAACAGUUUCAGGCGGGCAGUUUGACUGGGGCGGUCGCCUCCCAAAUGGUAACGGAGGCGCACAAAGGUUUCCUCUGAACGUGUAGAAAUCGUAUCUAGAGUGUGAAGGCAUAAGGAAGCUUGACUGUGAGACCUACAAGUCGAGCAGGGACGAAAGUCGGUCUUAGUGAUCUGACGGUGCUGAGUGGAAAGGCCGUCACUCAACGGAUAAAAGUUACUCUAGGAUAACAGGCUGAUCUCCCCCAAGAGUUCACAUCGACGGGGAGGUUUGGCACCUCGAUGUCGGCUCAUCGCAUCCUGGGGCGGUAGUACGUCCCAAGGGUUGGGCUGUUCGCCCAUGAAAGCGGUACGCGAGCUGGGUUCGGAACGUCGUGAGACAGAUCGGUCCAUAUCCGGUGUAGGCGUUAGAAUAUUGAGAGGAGCCUUCUUUAGUACGAGAGGACCGAGAAGGACAUACCUCUGGUGUACCAGUUAUCGUGCCAACGGUAAACGCUGGGUAGCUAUGUAUGGAGAGGAUAACCGCUGAAAGCAUCUAAGUGGGAAGCCCACCUCAAGAUAAGUAUUCUCAUC
rnacentral:rRNA from 1 species